AACCGCCGUAUGCCGAACGGCACAUACGGUGGUGUGAGAGGUCGGUAAUCAAAAUAAUUGAUUACCUCCUACUCGAU
rnacentral:misc_RNA from 1 species